UACGUAGGGUGCAAGCGUUGUCCGGAAUUAUUGGGCGUAAAGAGCUCGUAGGCGGUUAGUCGCGUCUGCUGUGAAAACUCGGGGCUUAACUCCGGGCCUGCAGUGGGUACGGGCUGACUAGAGUGCGGUAGGGGAGACUGGAAUUCCUGGUGUAGCGGUGAAAUGCGCAGAUAUCAGGAGGAACACCUAUUGCGAAGGCAGCUCGCUGGGACGUAACUGACGCUGAGACGCGAAAGCGUGGGGAGCAAACAGG
rnacentral:rRNA from 1 species